rnacentral:rRNA from 1 species
UACAGGGGGUGCAAACGUUGCUCGGAAUCAUUGGGCGUAAAGCGCACGUAGGCGGUUCGUUAUGUCGGAUGUGAAAGCCCUUGGCUUAACCGAGGAAGUGCAUCCGAAACUGGCGAGCUAGAGUACUAAAGAGGAUCGCGGAAUUCCCGGUGUAGAGGUGAAAUUCGUAGAUAUCGGGAGGAACACCGGUGGCGAAGGCGGCGACCUGGGUCGAGACUGACGCUGAGGCGCGAAAGCGUGGGGAGCAAACAGG